CCAUUGCUCAGUUGGUAGAGCACAAGGCUCUUAACCUUGUGGACGUGGGUUCAAGCCCUAUGGUGGG
rfam:Triticum aestivum genome assembly, contig: Triticum_aestivum_CS42_TGACv1_scaffold_061208_1DL